rnacentral:lncRNA from 1 species
CGCCGCCCCUGAGCCACCGCCGUUGCAGCUCCUAGGCGCUGCCGCCACACACCGCGCCGAUGUUGUGGCGCACGUCGAGGCAGCUCUCCUCCAGCCACCUUAGCCACCUCCGGUUCCCCCAACCCUAGCCGCGUCCUGAAGCGGUGAAGGUAGCUGGACGCGCUCAGCACGGCGCGCGCGGCGGCGGCAACGACGAGGCAGAGGGCCGCCUUGCCCCCGUACCACGGCCG